rnacentral:rRNA from 1 species
UACGUAGGGGGCAAGCGUUGUCCGGAAUUAUUGGGCGUAAAGAGCUCGUAGGCGGUUCGUCGCGUCGGCUGUGAAAACCUGAGGCUCAACCUCAGGCCUGCAGUCGAUACGGGCGGACUUGAGUACUGCAGGGGAGACUGGAAUUCCUGGUGUAGCGGUGAAAUGCGCAGAUAUCAGGAGGAACACCGGUGGCGAAGGCGGGUCUCUGGGCAGUAACUGACGCUGAGGAGCGAAAGCGUGGGGAGCGAACAAG